rnacentral:rRNA from 1 species
UACGGGGGGGGCAAGCGUUGUUCGGAAUUACUGGGCGUAAAGGGCUCGUAGGCGGCCAACUAAGUCCGACGUGAAAUCCCCAGGCUUAACCUGGGAACUGCGUCGGAUACUGGAUGGCUUGAAUCCGGGAGAGGGAUGCGGAAUUCCAGGUGUAGCGGUGAAAUUCGUAGAUAUUCGGAAGAACACCAGUGGCGAAGGCGACUUACUGGACACAUAUUGACGCUGAGGUGCGAAAGCGUGGGGAGCAAACAGG